AGGAACAAUGUCGCGGCGAUGACGUAAAACGUCGCUCGACAAAUGUUCCUAGUGGAC
rnacentral:precursor_RNA from 1 species